GUAAAUCUUCGGGGCAGGGUGAAAUUCCCGACCGGCGGUUAUAGUCCGCGACUCAUGGUGAAAUAUAUAGCUUUGUUUUCACUAUGACUGAUUUGGUGAAAUUCCAAAACCGACAGUAAAGUCUGGAUGCGAGAAGAAUAAU
rnacentral:ncRNA from 2 species